rnacentral:lncRNA from 1 species
AUUGUCUGCCUAAUGAUAUUUAUUUUGUUCCAAUUUACUUCUAUAUUAUGUUAAAUAAAAUCCUUUCGAAAGGGCUGUUCUCAUGUAUACUAAUCUAAUAUCAUUUUUAUGUUCUCUAAUCUUUGUUACCCCAAUAUAAAUGCUUUGGUGAUAAACUAUUAAUUGUAUUAAGAAUAUAAGCAGGUAUAAUUUUAGUUAUAAGAAGUUUUGUUUUUCAAAAAAUAUUCAUGACUGUUGUAAAUGAUCUCUGUCUGGAUUGACUUUGAGAAUAUUUCAACUUUCCACUUUGAGGACCCAGAUCUGAUUUUUAGAUCCCACUCCAUGAAAAUUUUUUCAUGGGAUCCAAGUCUAGUCUGUCAUUUCCCAUCCUCUGCAAUCCAGCUGAAUCUCUCUAUAGGGGUGGGCAAAAUCUUCAUAAAGGUAGAAAGGUUUAUUUUGUCCCACCACUUAGUACUCCUAUUGAAUGGAAAGUGGCAUCAAAAGAAAUAUAAUAAUCUAUUUUCCUUGACAAUGAAUUAAUUUUCCAUAUCCUAAACCUAAAUACUCUCCAUUAUAAAUCAACAGCAAUCCAAAUCAAGAAAGCAAAAUUACUGUACCCCUUCUAUUACUGAUAAGACUCUUUGAUAAGGACUCUUCUCAUUGGUUGAAAAUGAAGGGAAAACUCUACAAAUCAGACAAGAUUUUUUACUUAUUGAUAGACAUCAUUUCUUUUUUGAUUUAUAGAUCAUAAUCAUUAACUAAUUAAUUAUUAACUAUUAAAUUAUUAUGGGGCCAUUUAAGUUUAUUUGAUUUAUUAAUAUUAAAGUAUAAAAUCACAGGAUAAAUUAUCAAUAUGUGAUGUAACUUAUUUGUUACAUCAUGAUGUCACU